rnacentral:tRNA from 1 species
AGGAAGUUAGUCCAAAACAAGACCUCUGAUUUCGGCUCAGAAGAUUGUGGUUUAAACCCACAGCUCCCUU